UACAAGUUUCAGCAAUGGAUGUCCUGGCUCGAUCACCGAUGAAAGGCGCAGCAAAGUGUGAUAAGCAGUGUGAAUUGCAGAAUUCCGUGAACCAGCAGGGACUUGAACGCAUCUUGUGCU
rnacentral:rRNA from 1 species